rnacentral:hammerhead_ribozyme from 1 species
AUCCAUCUGACUGGUCCCAAAUAGGACGAAACACGCAUCCUGGAU